rnacentral:rRNA from 1 species
UUAGAACGUCGUGAGACAGUUCGGUCCCUAUCUGCCGUAGGCGUUGGAAAUUUGAGGGGAGCUGCUCCUAGUACGAGAGGACCGGAGUGGACGUACCUCUGGUGUUCCGGUUGUCACGCCAGUGGCACUGCCGGGUAGCUAAGUACGGAAGGGAUAACCGCUGAAAGCAUCUAAGCGGGAAGCCCACCUCAAGAUGAGAUCUCCCUGGGACUUUAAGUCCCCUGAAGGGCCGUUGAAGACUACAACGUUGAUAGGCUGGAUGUGGAAGUGCAGUAAUGUAUGAAGCUAACCAGUACUAAUUGCCCGUGAGGCUUGACCAUAUAACCUCAAGCAGUUU